UAAGAUGACAGUUCAGUUAGCCUGUAACUAUGUCGCCUCUUGUCCUAGCGUCUUGUCUGACUGGAGCUGCCUUUCAGAAGGAGACUGGCAAUAAAUGCUGUGAUACCUCUACAUCUAAAGGAUGCUCCCUAAUGAAUAGCAGGUCUUAAGGACGAGUGCUUCCCUGAUCAGAGAGCUUACCAUCGAGUCCCUCUGAAUCCCACUUGGAAGACCUACUAGAAAAUUCUUUCGGCCAGUACCCAACCCUGUUAUAUUCAGCACUGAAGACAGACUAUAUCCAAAGAUUCAGCUAAUAACUGAGGUGGAACUGGGAAGUGAUACUAACAACUGUUCCUUGCGAGCUUGUGCAAACUGACUCCACGACCCCACUAAAAGCCUUGAGGGAUGAAAAGACCUAUACUGAACACCUGGUCCUAAGUUCCAACAUGGCGCGGAUCUCAGGAGCUGCUGCUGGUUCUCCUCCUGGAAGGGCUGCAGUCUACCACACUGCCACCGAUUACCAGGGAGGGGAGGUGCUUCAGGACAACUUCUUUUGAAAAUAAUU